rnacentral:rRNA from 1 species
UGUGCCAGCAGCCGCGGUAAUACAGAGGGUGUGAGCGUUAAUCGGAUUUACUGGGCGUAAAGCGUGCGUAGGCGGCUUUUUAAGUCGGAUGUGAAAUCCCCGAGCUUAACUUGGGAAUUGCAUUCGAUACUGGGAAGCUAGAGUAUGGGAGAGGAUGGUAGAAUUCCAGGUAUAGCGGUGAAAUGCGUAGAGAUCUGGAGGAAUACCGAUGGCGAAGGCAGCCAUCUGGCCUAAUACUGACGCUGAGGUACGAAAGCAUGGGGAGCAAACAGGAUUAGAU